GGGUAUAGCUCAGUGGUAGAGUGUGUGCCUAGCAUGUAUGAUGUCCUGGGUUCAAUCCUCAGUACAGCCA
rnacentral:tRNA from 1 species